CCUACGGGUGGCAGCAGUGAGGAAUAUUGGUCAAUGGACGGAAGUCUGAACCAGCCAUGCCGCGUGCAGGAAGACGGCUCUAUGAGUUGUAAACUGCUUUUGUACAAGGGUAAACCUGAAUACGUGUAUUCCGCUGACAGUGCUUUACGACUAAGGAUCGGCUAACUCCGUGCCAGCAGCCGCGGUAAUACGGAGGAUCCAAGGGUUAUCCGGAUUUAUUGGGUUGAAAGGGUGCGUAGGCGGAUUGCUAAGUUAGAGGUGAAAUGUCCGGGCUUAACUCGGGAACUGCCUCUAAUACUGUUGAUCUAGAGAGUAGAUGCGGUAGGCGGAAUGUAUGGUGUAGCGGUGAAAUGCUUAGAGAUCAGACAGAACACCGAUUGCGAAGGCAGCUUACUAAGCUAUAUCUGACGUUGAGGCACGAAAGCGUGGGGAGCAAACAGGAUUAGAUACCCUUGUAGUC
rnacentral:rRNA from 1 species